UCCAGGUACAGCCAGCCGAUCGAUGGAGCGGAGAAGACGGGAAGUCAUGGAUGGCCAAGCAAGCCAAAGGCAUGUGAAGUUGCUCACUUCCCGAGAGAACCCCUCCUCUUCAAGAUUUCGAGCCAGCCCCCAACCCUUCCCUUCCCCGUCUCUCUAUCCCCUAUCGCAGCUCCUCUUCUUUAAAGCAUGGACCAGCGGCAGCUCUCUCAUCACAGCCACGGGUAGAUAGAUAUCUAGAGGAGCAGAAAGAAGAGGAGCCUUUUCGUCUUAUUUAUUCCCUCGCAAAAAAUCGUCUGCCCAUGCUCCUGCAUCUUCUUUUGAUUUUUGUUUGGAUCGUCUCUUGUCUGCCUCAAUUCACAUCACAACCACGGGUAGAUAGAUGUCUAGAGUAGCUGCUAGCAUUGUUUAUAUCUUUCCUUGCGUUGGUGCUGUUCUUGCUUUUCUUCCUGGUGUUUGCUGCGUGCUUGAGGAGAAGAUGUUGUGGAGGUGGAGCUCCUUUCGGUCCAAAAAGGGGUGUUGCUGUGGGCGGAUUGAGCUGCUGGGUCAUGGAUCCCGUUAGCCUAUUCCAUGGCUCGAUUUGAGAUCUGGGAGAGAGGAUGACAGAGAAAGGGAGGUUAUCAGCUGUUGUUUGGGAUAGGCUUAUGGCUUGCAUGCCCCAGGAGCUGCAUCAGCCAUAUAUGAACCCUCUUUGGAUUGAAGGGAGCUCUGCAUCUUUCGUCACUCUCCUUUUUUCAGCUUUUCCUUUUCCUUUCCUUGAUGGUUUUCGAAAGAUUUUCCCUUGGUUUCAGCCUUCACUGAUAAUAUAUAGCAUGUUUGUUGUUUGUAUGCUCAUGAUGAUUUUGCAAGUGGUGAAGUAAUAUUCUUGCAGGCAUGGAUGGUCCUUCUAGGUACACACCGUCAUCAGCAUCUAGCUUUCCCUUGCCGGAAAAAAGAGGUUCUCUUGUCAUGCUUAUCCUUCCGCAUUUGGAUGCCCCUUCCCAAAUGCUCUGGACCUCCUAGAUUCUUGCUGCUUGGCGAAUCUGAAUGCUAUAUGCAGCAUAUUUAAAGUGGUGAAGAAUCGAAGGGCGGCAAUGGUGAUUGUACCUGAUCCUUGCCUUCAGUGGACUUGUUGAUCUUGCAAUUUUGUUGAAAGUGCAACGGAAGAUGCAUGUUUGCUACUGGUAGCGCUUGAGAGAAACAAACCAGAAGCUUUCUCAUGUCUAUGUAGAAGUGUACUUUACUAGCAUAAUUCUUGUACCACGGCCUUUUUAUGGGACAUUUCAAUUAUUUGUAAUUGUUGCUCCCAGUCAUCCCACUUGUUGUAUAACAAAUGAUUCUGCGCUUUGUACUUUCCACAAAGGAUAAAAAUUAAAUGGCAUCUGAACCUUUUUGUUUCA